AUUCCAUGGUAGGGACACUUCCUUAAUAACUCAUUAAAGCGCUCCCAAGCAUCAUACAAAGACUCCCUAUCAUUCUGAUUAAAAUUAUUAACUUCACCUCUCAACUU